GUUGAGAACACGGCUCUUUGUCUGUGUAAAUAUGCAUCGGGAGCACACAGGUAAAUGGGCGAGGACUGAGGACAAUCACUAAUUAUCAAUCACUAAAAUCGAUUCUACAACAUUCCAGAUGCCUUGCAUUCAAAACAUGUCUUAAAGAAGCACAACAGGUUAACAUCAUCCAAUUUGAAGGAAGAGAGUAUAUUUUAAAAAAAGCCCAAUCCCCACAGUUUAAACAAAGACACGCGUGUUGUCUUUCGAGGACUGACGACUCGGGGGACCCGGUGUUUGAGAAGUCAAUCCAACUUCUGGUUUUAAUAACUGCAUCUUUUUUAACAGCGAUAUACUAUACUCGUUCAGCUAAAAUAACUCAUUGUAACGUUGAAUAAGAACUGUAACCCACACGUAAUUGAGGCUAGUCGGCUAAUCUAGCAUAGGACGAACCAGGUUGUUGUCUUUUUUUUUAUUGGGUAUACUAGUGAAAGACAAUGUUUUUAUGUUCACACACAGUGGCUUCAGAUGUUAGUGGUAAUUAGAGCUUCAUGCUGCAAGAGGCUUCUUAAGUACUGCCAACACUGUGAUUAAUAAAGGAGCAGUUUUACAAUAUGACAUUCCAAUAAAUGCAGAAAUGGACAGGGGGAAAGUGGAGUGCUGUGAUGAACUGUUGGGACGUGGGUUUGACUUGGUACAGA
ensembl:lncRNA